UGGCGGACGGGUGAGUAACGCGUGGGUAACCUGCCCUGUACAGGGGGACAACAGUUAGAAAUGACUGCUAAUACCGCAUAAGCGCACAGGACCGCAUGGUCCGGUGUGAAAAACUCCGGUGGUACAGGAUGGACCCGCGUCUGAUUAGGUAGUUGCGGGGUAACGGCCCACCAAGCCGACGAUCAGUAGCCGACCUGAGAGGGUGACCGGCCACAUUGGGACUGAGACACGGCCCAAACUCCUACGGGAGGCAGCAG
rnacentral:rRNA from 1 species